AUGGAACUUUCCUCACAUAUCCGAGGUUCUGAGGAAUCAUUUCAAGUGAAUCUCUUCCAGAGUGCCCAAUCUGAGGUCCAGCUGGUGGAGUCUGGAGGGGGUGUGAAAAGACCUGGAGAGUCCAUCCGUCUCUCCUGCCGAGGUUCAGGAUUCACCUUCAGUAGCAGCUAUUUGUACUGGGUGAGACAAAGUCCUGGAAAACCUUUGGAGUGGGUGGCUUAUAUAAGUACCCAAUCAAGUCCCAUUUACUACUCGGAUAAAGUGAAGGGACGAUUCACCAUCUCCAGAGAUGAUUCCAAUAGCCUGAUGUUUCUGCAAAUGAACAGCCUGAAAGCUGAGGACACAGCGAUAUAUUACUGUACCAGAGAUACACAGUGA